UUUGCCGCGGCGAGGUGCACGUGUGGGCGGCGUUCAAAUAGAUUUACGUUUAUUUCACGUUCCUGACCUCGCCCGCCUAUAAAAGUCCUCGUUGCUCCAGGGCGUAGCUCCGUUACCCUGGGGGGCCUAUGGGGGUGCGGGGUACAGGCACCCAUCGCUCCGGGACACCUUGCCUCAGUGCUCAUCUCUGUCAAAUUAAAGACUCAAGAGCUGUGUGAAGAAGCUGAGCAGCGUCUCCCUGGCCUGGGCGUGGAGUGAGCUGGUCCCCUCAUCACCAGCACCAUAGACCAGGGGAUGAGGUGCUCCUGGGCGGACCAGAGGAUGUCCACUGUGCUGGUGAGUGGCCUGACCCUUGCAUCUCUCUGGGUCAUUGUAGUGCUCCAAACUUGCUCUUUUUCUGUGGCCUGACCCCUGCAUCUCUCUGGGUCAUUGUAGUGCUCCAAACUUGCUCUU